rnacentral:misc_RNA from 1 species
GGUCGAUAAUGUAGAACAUCACAUCACGUCGCGGUUCGUCACUCGUGUCGUGGCGCUGACAGAGAGAACACUUCUGUCAGUUACACGGGGUCUCUCUGAGUCGUGGGUGUGUUCUGAGAUAGAUACUGGAAAGAAUUUAAAAUCGUUUGAUUAACAAGACCAGCAACAAUGGGCGGUUUCGCAUGGGUGACGUUGGCCACAAACGAUUCUUACUCACUUGGAGCUUUGGUUUUGGCGCAUUCCCUGCGCCGGGCCGGUACCAAGCAUGAUUUGGCAAUUCUUAUAACCCCGGGUGUCACUCAGGUUAUGAGGGAAAAAUUGGCCUCGGUAUAUUCUCUUGUCCAGGAAGUAAACGUCCUGGAUUCAAAGGAUGAGGCCAAUCUCGCGCUCCUUGCACGACCCGAACUCGGAAUCACAUUCACCAAAUUACACUGCUGGCGGUUGACUCAGUACGAAAAAUGUGUUUUCGUGGAUGCCGAUGCUCUCGUUGUCAGGAAUUGCGACGAACUGUUUGAACGAGAAGAAUUGACAGCAGCACCCGACGUCGGAUGGCCGGACUGCUUCAACUCGGGAGUUUUCGUAUUCAAGCCGUCGCAGCAGACCUUCGCCUCGAUCACUUCAUUCGCGGCGGAAAAAGGUUCGUUCGACGGUGGUGACCAAGGUCUUCUCAAUUCGUACUUCAGUGAUUGGGCCCACAAGGACAUCUCCAAGCAUCUACCGUUCAUCUACAACAUGUGCUCAACGGCAACUUACUCGUAUCUGCCCGCCUACAAACAAUUUGGGGAAAAUGUUCGUAUUAUACAUUUCAUCGGCGCCACAAAACCUUGGCUGCAAUAUUUCGACACUGAAACUUCAACCGUCCAUCCGCCGUCAGGAUGCAAUCAUUUGCAGCCACUUUUGCAACUCUGGUGGAACAUUUUCUGCGAAAACGUUUACCCUAAGCUAUCACCAGUGAUGGCCAGGAGCACAUUGGCAUCAAUUUGGCACAGAUUCACUCCUCCUUUGCCCAGCACGUCCGUUCCUUGGUAUCCAAUCCGUAACGAAUCGAAUCAAAGUCACUCGUACAGAUCAGAGUCACGAAAAUCCAAUUACAACUAUGAAGACGACAUCGCGAAACCGGCUGAUUUUUCCGAAUUCAACGACCCGUGGGAACAGUAUAUACCGAAUUACACUCCGCCGGAAAAUCUGGACUAUCAUCAUCAAAGAGAUCACACUCUGCAGUAUUAUAAUACCGGUCCACACGAGUUUAAUGACAGUCAGAGUUCCCAGCAAUUUCAAAAUUACGCAUUCGAUAAUCCUCCACAGCAACUUCAGCGUCACGACAGACUUUCGGUCGAUAAUCCCCAGCAACCGACUCCGUCGGUAAACCUUGACGCGUACAGUUUAACGUCGCAACAUCGCGAAUUUGACGAAAAUCUGAACGAGAACCGGAAUCAAAAUUACCAUAAUCCUUGGCAGAGUGAGAAUGAUUAUCAGCAUGUUCAAAAACAAUCGACAGAGGCGUAUCACAGUCCUAACUUACGUAGGGAAACAUUUGUUGAUAAUACCGGGGAUUUUAGAGUACCGAAAAAUUUUGAAGACGUUAACAAUGAAAUAUGGCGGGAGAGUCAGACUGAACAUUCUGAGCAUUUCAGAGAGCAAACAAGCCGCGAAAAUAUCGACGAUCGGUUGCACAGAGAUCAUUAUUUCAGGCACGAUCCUGAAGAGCCAAAUGACUCGAUUAGGGAAGAGCAAACAAAUGAUAGGCUUGACGAUUUUCACUCUGUACGAGAAGUUGAAUCUAUCCGAUCUAUCGAUGCCACUCCACAUUCCCAAUCCGAAUUUCCCUCUAAUCAUGAGCCUUGUACAGAUCCUCCGCACAAUGUAGCCCAGCACUAUGAACAAUCCGUAGACAAUCAGGGGCAACCAGCGGUCGAUGACGCUGGAAUUGCCGGAGCAUUGGCAAAGAUGACUUUGGGAGAACCGAGGAGCGCCGAACAAGUGGCACUUGAGGAACACAUGAGAAGGCAAGGCUGGGAACAGGGUCAAAUCGAUUACAUGGGGCGUGACAGCUUCGACAACAUCUGGAAGAAGAUUCUCAGUACUAUAAGUCAACCUCCGGAACACCAGCCAUCGCCCUCUAUGGAGACACAAAAUGUUGAAAUCAGUUCUCCUGUUGUUCCAUCCUCGCCUCUGGCAGCUACAUCAAGUUCAAUAGCCGGAGCAGAGGAGAGCAACUAACAGGCCGCGCCGCCAUGCACUGCUGCGUCUUGUAUUGUCGUUUUGCUUUGAUGGGUUUGCACAACACCGGACGUCUCUUCCCCUUCUAUUCCAUCCGGAGAAUCAGUAGCGACGCUUCAUAGCAACGAUGUAAUUGAAUUUUUGAAAAGCGAGCCCAUCGUUGAACCCUUAACCGUACGAGAUGAGCCAAA